UACGUAGGGUGCAAGCGUUAUCCGGAAUUAUUGGGCGUAAAGAGCUCGUAGGCGGGUUGUCGCGUCUGCUGUGAAAACUGGAGGCUCAACCUCCAGCCUGCAGUGGGUACGGGCAGACUAGAGUGCGGUAGGGGAGAUUGGAAUUCCUGAUGUAGCGGUGAAAUGCGCAGAUAUCAGGAGGAACACCGAUGGCGAAGGCAGGUCUCUGGGCCAUAACUGACGCUGAGAAGCGAAAGCAUGGGGAGCGAACAGG
rnacentral:rRNA from 1 species